rnacentral:tRNA from 1 species
GCCGGGGUAGCUCAGCUGGGAGAGCGCUCGGCUGAAGACCGAGUCGCGCACCCGGCAUAGAGGUGCGCUGCGGGAGAGGUCCCGGGUUCAAAUCCCGGCCCCGGCA